AUUGAACGCUGGCGGCAGGCCUAACACAUGCAAGUCGAACGAGUGGCGGACGGGUGAGUAAUGGCUGGGAAACUGCCUGAUGGAGGGGGAUAACUACUGGAAACGGUAGCUAAUACCGCAUACCAUCAGAUGUGCCCAGAUGGGAUUAGCUAGUUGGGGGGGUAACGGCUCACCAAGGCGACGAUCCCUAGCUGGUCUGAGAGGAUGACCAGCCACACUGGAGCGGCGACACGGUCCAGACUCCUACGGGAGGCGGCAGUGGGGAAUAUUGCACAAUGGGCGCAAGCCUGAUGCAGCCAUGCCGCGUGGAGGAAGAAGGCCGUCUGGUUGUAAAGAACUUUCAGCGGUGAGGCGUUACCCGCAGAAGAAGCACCGGCUAACUCCGUUCCAGCAGCCGCGGUAAUAC
rnacentral:rRNA from 1 species